UACAGAGGGUGCAAGCGUUGUUCGGAAUUACUGGGCGUAAAGGGCGCGUAGGCGGGCCCGUAUGUCGAUUGUGAAAGCCCAGGGCUCAACCUUGGAAUUGCAGUCGAAACUGCGGGUCUUGAAUGCCUGAGGGGAUGGCGGAAUUACCGGUGUAGAAGUGAAAUUCGUAGAUAUCGGUAAGAACACCUGAGGCGAAGGCGGCUAUCUGGCGGUGCAUUGACGCUGAGGUGCGAAAGCGUGGGGAGCAAACAGG
rnacentral:rRNA from 1 species